UUUUGGUAAAAGGAGACUAUCUCCGUAAACGAAUUUACAGCUCGCCACCUAAACUCUCGGCCACUUUACCU
rnacentral:tRNA from 1 species